AGCAGCCGCCGCGGGAAUACGAAGGGGGCUAGCGUUGUUCGGAUUUACCGGGCGUAAAGGGCGCGUAGGCGGACUGAUAAGUCAGGGGUGAAAUCCCAAGGCUCAACCUUGGAACUGCCUUUGAUACUGUUUGUCUUGAGUUCGAGAGAGGUAAGUAGAACUGCGAGUGUAGAGGUGAAAUUCGUAGAUAUUCGCAAGAACACCAGUGGCGAAGGCGGCUUACUGGCUCGAAACUGACGCUGAGGCGCGAAAGCGUGGGGAGCAAACAGGAUUAGAUACCCCGGUAGUCCCUGUCUCUUAUAC
rnacentral:rRNA from 1 species